rnacentral:rRNA from 1 species
UACGGAGGGGACUAGCGUUGUUCGGAAUUACUGGGCGUAAAGCGCACGUAGGCGGAUUUGUAAGUCAGGGGUGAAAUCCCGGGGCUCAACCUCGGAACUGCCUUUGAUACUGCAAAUCUCGAGUCCGGAAGAGGUGAGUGGAAUUCCAUAGUGUAGAGGUGAAAUUCGUAGAUAUUAGGAAGAACACCAGUGGCGAAGGCGGCUCACUGGUCCGGUACUGACGCUGAGGUGCGAAAGCGUGGGGGCAAACAGGG